GCCCCGCGCCGCGCCCGCCCUUCCCGGCACCUCCCUCCGCGCGCUCUUCCCGGCGCCUCCCGCGGCCGCCGGUCCCCGCCUGGAGCGGCCGGAGCUUUCUAGGGAGAGCCUCCCCCUCCCAGAGGGUAGCCUGGUCACGCCACGCCGGAACCCCCCCUGACGUCCUUUCGGUAUGGCCUCUGGGUGCGGAGACCCCGCCGGACCCCCGACGGAAGGAGGGGCGGGGACUCAGGGAACAGCCCGCGGCUGGGAAGGGCGGGCGGAGGGCAGGUGCUCAAGCUUCUCAAAUGAGGUCUGUCAACCACUUCAUCUAAACUGCACCUCAACCGCUGUGUCCAAAACCUACACUGCAUCUAAACUGCACCUCAACCGCUGUGUCCAAAACCUAUCAUCUGCGUCAUGUAAAAUUAUAAUUUUGAAUACGAAUUUGUAAUUGCAUGUAUGAUCUAUAAAGCCACAUAUAUGAUAA